CUUUCUUCUUCCCCCAACCCAUCUCAAUCCCGAUCCUCCCUUCUUCCCUUCCUCUCGUUCUCUUCCACGGGCGACUCAACGUCGAGGCUGGAGAGCAUCUUCCCGGAGCUCGACGCAAGGGAGUCACCGGAGCUCUAUGGGUACCAGUGGGCUCCAGGUCAUCUUCGGCUGAGGGGUUUCUUCUUCGGCGAAUUUCGCGACCAAUCACCGACGAUCGAUGGCUAGGGCACGGUGAGGAGCCGAAUCUCGUAUCGUCUCCGACUGGUAGGCCUUCCCUCUCCUCCCCUCGUGCUACUCACAAAGCGAUCCACACCUCCUUUCUUGCUGGAAUUGGGCAACAACGCCAUUGGGAGGUGAUCCAGAGAGGUAGGGCUUCAUCGGAUUUGUCCAGUGACGGCGGUGUGGUGAGAUUUAGGUCACGGGAUUGAAGGGAUUGAGGAGGUGAAUCCAUCAGUGAGGUUCUGUGCUCUUGCUGUGGAUCUGGAAUUGGGUUAUGUGGCUUCUUGGUUCUAGUAGUAACCCUUUCAACAGCAACAGCCACUUAGUUCCAGCUUUGUGUUCAGUUGUGAA